GACGAACGCUGGCGGCGUGCUUAACACAUGCAAGUCGAACGGGUCUGCCCUGUUUUUUGCGGGGUGGGUCAGUGGCGAACGGGUGAGUAACACGUGAGUAACCUGCCCCUCACUUCUGGAUAACCGCUUGAAAGGGUGGCUAAUACGGGGUGUUCUGGCUGUGCCGCAUGGUGUGGCUGGGAAAGAUUCACUUUUGUGGUGUUUUGGUGGGGGAUGGGCUCGCGGCCUAUCAGCUUGUUGGUGGGGUGAUGGCCUGCCAAGGCUUUGACGGGUAGCCGGCCUGAGAGGGUGGGCGGUCACACUGGGACUGAGAUACGGCCCAGACUCCUGCGGGAGGCAGCAGUGGGGGGUAUUGCACAAUGGGCGGAAGCCUGAUGCAGCGACGUCGCGUGAGGGAUGGAGGCCUUCGGGUUGUGAACCUCUUUCGCCGGUGAAGAAGGUCCUGCUCUUUGUGGUGGGGUUGACGGUAGCCGGGUUAUGAAGCGCCGGCGAACUACGU
rnacentral:rRNA from 1 species